rnacentral:tRNA from 1 species
GGAAGAUCCUCGUCCCCGGUGGGGCGGCCGGACUUCAAAUCCGGUUGGGGCCGCCAGCGGUCUGGGCAGGUUCGACUCCUGUGAUCUUCCGCCA